CUUUCCUACGCUAAAAACCACUGAGUGGAGUAUUUAGUACACAGGAAGUCGGCCAGAGAAACAUUUCUCAUAUUUGAAGGCCGGAAAGAGGGACAUUUCUGACACCGGAAGUCAGUGAGAGGACUCUUUCCCACACAGGAAGUCAGCUAGAGAGCCGUCUCCCCUCUCUGGAGCCGAGAGAGGCCGGUUUCCCCCACCGUAGCCCACCUGGGAGGAAUUUUCCAGAGAUCACUGUCUGAUGACCCUGUCUUGGAAUUGGAGCCAUGCAAGUUACACUGACCACGUUUGGGUUGGGAUAUUGAGGAGGUUAUGGUUAAAAGCAUACGAUGGGAGAUCAUAUUGUACUUGCGAGUGAGACCCGGCUGGAGGAAUGUUUUAAUUCUUCGGAAAUACCAAGUGGUCUCUGUCUCACAUGAGUACUUCACAAUGGGGAAACUGAACUGGAACUCUACUGACAACGCAGUUGGGAGUUCAAACUUAAUAACCUUCCAGAGUUGGUAUCAAAUUCAGACGCUGACGCUCCUUGGAGAGGUUCUUUGCUGCAAGAGGAUGGAAAGGAUCACUGUGAUUUUGUUUUUCUCCUGCUGCUCUGUCUGGAAGCCAUGUGAGGAGGACAUCUGAGCAGCCCUGUGGAGAGGCCCCCAGCCAACAGCCAGCAUGAACUUGCUGGGCAUGUGAGUGCACCACCUUGAAAGUAGAGCCUCAACCCCUGGUCAAGCCAUCAGGUAAGAUUGCAGCCCUGGCUUAUAUCUGACCACAACCUCAUGAGCAACCC
rnacentral:lncRNA from 1 species